rfam:Dipodomys ordii contig_21904, whole genome shotgun sequence.
UAGCUCAGCGGUAGAGUGCAUGCCUUGCAAGCAUGAGGUCUUGGGUUCGAUUCCUCA